rnacentral:ncRNA from 1 species
GAACCUUAGAAGUUCUUGAUGUUCCCGAACAUAGCAGCCAUGUUUGAACACGAUGUUCAAACAAGCCGCCACUGAGCCAUGGAUGGCGAAUUGGCGGCGGUGGCGGAUGGUAGAGAUAUGUGAAUUGGAACAUUUAGAACUUCUUAGGUUC